UCCAUCGGGCAGCACCGGAGCUGCUCUACCGCAGUGAUGUGCUGCCCCCAAUCUCUCGUACAGCUCGGGUUUGGAGGCGGAGGCCAAGGGGGAGGAGGCGCAGGCGCUGUAGCUCGCGGACAAGUCGAGGAACUGCCCCACGGCGCGAGCGGCGAGACUAAGGUAUGUCAUGUGCCAUUUCUGCUCAGGUCCUCAGGCUCCAACUUGUGUGCCAUCGCAUGUAGUGCUGUGUUAGUCGACAAACUCCGUGGAUGCUCGGAUGAUUUGGUAGAACAAACAAGUACUUUAGAUUUGAAUCCACAUGCUUGCAAGAGAGAAUGGGGAAUAAAAGGCGGAAUCCUUAGGCGGCAGACUACUUGUCUUAGGAUUGCUGUGGUUUUGAUGUACGGGCACUAAUUAAUGGGCCACCAAGUUCUCAAAUGGAAGGGGACGCUUCAUGCUUGAACACUAUUACCGGUAGAAACUAGCAAUAUUAACACUAUUACCCGUACAAACGAGCAAUAUUAGAAUCUGAAAAUGACACAAUUACUAAAUUUCAGUUUACGGACGAUCAAUGGCAGCGCAGUUAAGCAAAUUACCAAACAUUAUCUAAGAGGACCCGGCAUCUCGCUUUCACCGUCCAGAAAAGAGGCUCGUUUGUGAAAUCCCAUUGGUAUAGCCAGACUGGAAGGAUAUCCCCUCGUUUCUUGCUCUUGAAAUCAUCAGCCGGAACUGCCUUGGAAUUUCAGUAUCCAUGGAGUCUGUAUGUCGAGGGGCCCCAGAAACAGCUGGCAACCACACUUUGAGCCUUGAAGCAACCUCGGUCAUGGUCGGCCUGUUGAUGGCUGCGUUUUCGAGGCAGUUCAUGGCCAGGUCCACUACACUCUGCAGGGAACUGGCAUCGUACAGAUCCAGCAGUUUCUUGUCUACAACAUCGUGAAUGCUGCCGUUAGCUAUCUUUUGCCGCACCCAAUUUGGUAGGUGGACAGUUUGAGGGUCCAUAACUACUGGGGAUUGGCCGGUGAUGAUCUCCAAGAGCACGAUACCAAAGCUGUAAACAUCUGUUUUGACGGUGACUUGGAAACUUGCAUGGUAUUCAGGAUCGAGGUAACCAAGAGUGCCAGCAGCAGCAGUAGAUAUGUGUGUGUGAGCAUCAUUAAAAGCCCGUGAAAGCCCAAAAUCAGAUAUCACCCCCACCAGAUUAUUGUCCAGAAGGAUGUUUGGGGUCUUCACAUCUCUGUGCACUAUUGAUGGGGUGCAUAACUCAUGUAAAUACUCGAGGCCUGUUGUUUAUCAAAACUCGUACUUUGUCAACACACACAUACGUCACCUCAAAAGAAAGAAAACUCACACAUACGUACAUACAUGGCCUAAAGGCAAACAUGCAACUGAAGUACGGACCUUGUGCAGCAUCAAGUGCAAUAUGAAGUCGUUGUUCCCAAUUCAAACUAUACUCAUCUCCUGCAUCAAUACAUACGAAAUUAAUGCAAGUGCCAUUUGGUAUGUGCAUAAUAGCAUAAAUACCAGUUUUCCUAAUACUUGCACAUAUUAUUUUAGAUCGACUCUAUGCACAUAUUUAAGCUGACAAAUGAUGGAUAAACACACAAUGAUUAACCAUAUCAUCAUUGGCGUAUUAAGAUCUAAGUCCUGCAUAAACAGGCACUUUGAUCUUCCAGAGGUCACUGCUUUUCUGUUGUGAACCUUGAUCCACAACGUGAUAAAUAACUAUCGUGUUGAAGAUAGCCAGACAGCAUUGCUGCAAGGGAUUGGGUAGGCAUAGGUUUAGAUGAGAGAAUAAUUCUUGCUUCCUUCCCAAACCUUUCAUGACAUGCACAUAUAUAAUACCUCCUAACUUGACAGUUGACACCCAUGGUGUUGCACUCUAACUAGGAAACCCUCUCAUACGAGAAUCUCAUUUCGUGCUUUCCUAAUCCUUACUGUUCCGAAUUAGGCUUCCUAAUUCUACCUGUAACUCAUCUUCCCCAGUUUAAGUUGUCUCCUUCCUGAACUCUUCCCUAGCCAACUCCUUCCUUGAAUCUUAUUGGGGUCUCUUUCCUGUAAAGAACUCACCGACCCUUGCUGGCCGGCUGGCCAGUUGCAACACAUCUGAUUCUGCUUUGGGGCAUGCACUAAUGUCCAUAACAUUUUCAUUUGCUUUACCAGAGCAUUUUUUUAUAUACAAAUCCUGAAAUCCAGUUAACAAUAGAACAAAGCUAUUGAAGCAUUCUUUGAAUACAUAUCUCUCUAGUUGCUUUGUUUCUUACUGGCUUUUCAAAGAUGUGCAUGUUUAUAUUUUGUGACUAUCAUGCCAUGCUUUUGAAAAAGAAUUUUACUGUGGUAGCCCAAAUUUGUUACGGAAUAUCUAUGACCAUGCCAUGGUUAGGACUUUAUGCAGUUCUAGGAUGCAGCUAUGGUUGUCUCACUUGUUAGUUGAAUAUCUUUACAGAGUAAAUUAUGUCUACAAACUCAACUGUAUCGACUAGCAGCACAAUAACAGUUUAGGCAAUCAACUAUACCUUUAACAAGGAGAGCCAGUUUUGAAAAUCCUGAUUGCAGUACCAUGUCAAAGCCAGAAUAGUUUGAUCUUAGACUUUCCUUUUUGUACAUACAACUAGGUCCUGCCGGAUUUUAUUUUUAUGGAUGCACAAUAUAUUGAUAAAAUUUGACAAAUAGGUGAUUCCCAAGUUAGUCAUCCGGGUCCCUGUGUAACUGUUGGUUUCUCACGAAGUAAAACUCUGAACUUGCUUUUCAGAUUGAGCAGUUUUUAGUUUUGAUCGAAUGAUUUUAUUUUAUUGAAUUAAAGUACAAAUACAACUAGUGAUAAUAACAAACUGAAAGUUGGAUUGGUUGUACCUAAGUCAACUAUGCUUGACAUAUACAUUAGGAGAAGUUAAGAGAGAAACCUCCUCUUAAAAGCUGUUGAAGAUUUCCUCUGGGCAUAAAAUCAUAAACGAGUGCUAGGCACUUCUUGUUCUGGCAAUAUCCUUGCAAAGUCACAAGGUUCUUGUGAUGAACUUUGGACAAGGUUUGCACCUGCAGCAACGGAUAUAAGUAUCAGAUAUCCUAGAACUAAAGCCAAUUGCAUCAUUAUGUGAUAUGGACUCUGUAAAGGGUUUUGGACGUCUUGCGGACUUAUUAUUACUUUCUAUUGAAGAAAGCAUUGGUUCGACCUAGUUUGUUUUGUGAUAUACCUCUGGGAGGAAGUCUUUUGACUCUGCUAUUGAUGUCUCCAUGAGCACCUUCACAGCUACCUCAUCACCAUUUUCCAGCGUGCCAUGAUAAACAAUACCGAAACCUCCCUUUCCAAUGAUUGAUUGGAAGUCGUUUGUUAUGAGCUUCAGCUCUGUGUACGUGAACCGUCUGAUAUCAAUAUGUAGUGGAGUUUCCUCUUCAUACAUGGCAUAAUCCUCAUGGUCUUCUGACUUCCCUGCCGAGUCAAGAAGUUUUGCUUUACAUGAAAGUUUAGAUACGAAGCUGCUCUCUAAUAUGUACCACCCAUUGCAUCGAUUAAGGGAAUUUUAGAGCAUAGAUUUUUGUUUACCUUUCCAGCAUAACUUCCAGAGUAUGCACAUCACUACUAGGAGGGAUACCAGUACCACAGGAACUAUCACUGCGAUGAGUAUGAUAUGUAUGGUGUUCUUCUUAUUUGAGCAGUAUGUAUCUUUGACUUUUGAGCAUAGGGGAUUGCCUUCUAAUCUAGUGGCACAGUUACACAACAUAUAGAAAAGAGCAGUUCAUAAGACCUUAGCUGCAACAGUUAUAUAAAUAUUAUGAUUAGAGGAUGAGUCUGUUUCUAACACAACUAGCCAGCUAAACAUCUGUGCACUCUAAAAAGAACAACUUUACGGUUUCUCAUCUAGACACUCUAAAGGAACAAACUUCAUGGUUUGUAUAUCAUGUGCAAUUACUAACGUCCUUAUCUACCUCUCUUGUUGAAAGCCGAUAGAUAACAAAACAUUUAUAUUUGAUAGAUGUAAGUUGUGUAAUUGAGCGCGUGUUUGCAUCAAUGCAAUUCCCUACAGAAGUGUGGCUAAGUCAAUUUCUCUAAGAGUUCAUGUGUAUGGCAAGUGGGGCUAGGCGCUUGGAAAGUGUGGCGUGCCACAAAUAUAUCAUUAACCAAACAGUGCCAAGAGAAAGCCAAACCUUUGUAACUCUAGUUUGGCUAAGUGUGGGUAUGAACCAAAUGUUUAGCCAAUGUAUUAUAUUGUAUGUUCAAAGACUAUUGCCAAACCUUAAUUUUCUCCAAUGAUAACCAAUUGUUGAGCCUAUUUCUUUUUGGCAUAGCUACCAAAGCCUUUCAGUCCCAAACAAGUUGGCGUAGGCUAGAGUUGAAACCCCUAACAACAUCUCUAAUAGAUGCCCAAAAAUUUACAUUUGGGCCAAUUUUUUGUUUUGUUUUGUGGGAUUAAGGACCAGCUAGCAGAUCCCUCAAACCAAAAUCCCUAAAAAAAGCUUUUCAUCCCCCAAAACGCAGCCACCCCGACUUAAUUUAGGGCAUGUACAACGAUGCUAUCUUAGGAGUGCCAUGUAGGAUAAAUGAUGAGGUGGAGGAGAGAUAACUCGUAAGAAAAGGCUUGUCUUCUCUUAUUUAAGAGAAGACAAGAGAUGAUCUCUUAGCACAAUAUGUCUCGCCUCAUUUUUAGGAAUAACUACUUAUUGAAGAUAAGGCUAAGACAUGACCCAUUGUAGACGUCUUUUUUUGUCAUCUCUAAAUUACAUGCAAGACUUAAGAUAAGACUAUCUUAUCAAUCAUUGUACAUGCCCUUAGUCCAAUGCCGCAACUUCUCAGUAAAAACAGUCGGCUGCCAUACCUUUCUCUCAGCUCCGACCCGCUGCCCCCGUUGCCGUUGUUCAACCCCUUUUGCAGGAACCGUUGCGCGCGACCAUCCUGCCGCCCUCUCCUACACUUUCUCCUUGUUCGCCGGUGCCAGAAUCAGCCUUUUCACUGCCGAAGAACCUGCCUUCCUAUCGCUUCGCCCGGUGGUCACUGAGGUCUAUUUCAUCGGGAAUCGAACCGGCCGACCUUGGAGACGACGUAGGAAGGUCCAAUGCAGCUCCUAGACGACCAGCGGCGCUAGAACUAGCGAAGAAGACCGCCCCACCACCCCGCAUCCCUGGGGUGGAGGUUCGUCGCCUCAACGCCCGAGGAUCGCCUCUGCAGACUGCUAGGCAGCGUCGCUAGUGUCCUCCACCAUCGUUUGGCCUUAGCCCGAGCUCCAUCAUCGGACAUCGUGUCUCUGCUCCCGUCCACCAACAAGGUAUUUGUCAAAAUGCCUCUAUGUUUUUUUUUCUUGUUUUCAUCAAAGAAAGGUCUCGAAUUGUGUAGAAAGAAGAAGAUGGUGACUUUGAUUUGGCGGUGGCCGCCGUGGUGUCUAUGGAGGAGGAUUUCCCGCGGCUGAGGCUCAGUUCUCGGUUUGAUCGGAGGAUGUUUCUUUGAGAUAGAAUCAUUGGUCAUGAUGGUUUAGUGAGGGAUUAAUUUGUGCCGAAUGCAGUAUAUGCUUCCUAUUUUCUGCAUAGAUUCCGAAUGCACCGAGAUCUUUUCAACACCAUUGCAAAAGGGAGAAACAUGAUCCUUCGUUUAAGCCAAGAAGGAAUGCAACUUGCUGCAAGUGCAAUUCGAUUGUUGAAGAUUACCGCAACCAUGUGAGUCCUUGCUUAUGGAUGCCCGACCGAUGCCAUUGAUUACUAUGUUCGCAUUGGGGAAGAUCUCAUCCUAGAUUGUGUGAGACGAUUUUGUGAUGUUGUGAUCGAAAUCUAUGGACCAGAGUACUUGAGGGUUUGUAAGGGCAUAUUUAUCCCUUAGUAGUUUUGGUGAUUGAUGACAAUGCUUUUGCGAACUAAUCGUGUGCAUUGAGCAUUUCAGAUAUAUCAUGUCUAGGCACAAGACGAUUUGGUGCCCCUCGAAGACUAUUGAAGACGGCGUUUCUCUACGUUUCUUUUUGGUGGUUUGAGUCGUAGGAAAGCCGUACUAUUAAGAGGGGGUCUGCGUUGGAAAGGUUUGGGUGGAAUCAACACGUACACGUCUGUUCCUUGUUGCACCACUUUUCCGUUGGCCCUUUGAAGCAUCCUCCGUUUCUCCGUGGCUCUGCAAAAUGAAGGACUCCUAGUGUUGCUGAACUGGGGCAUGCGGUAGUACUCCUCUCUGGAGCGGUAGUACCGCAGGCCCUUGCGGUAGUACGGGCCUCUGGCGCGGUAGUACCGCAGGUGCUCACGGUAGUACCGCUUCUUAGGAGCGGCAGUACCAUAGCCUCAGGCCAGGCUCAACGGCUCGAGUGGCUGUAGGGGCGGAUGUAAUUUUUUACAUCCGCGCCCUACACGGUAGUACUGUGCCAUGGGCGCGGUAGUACCGCGAGCUCUGGGCAAGCACAACAACAUGAGCGGAAGUAGGGGCGGAUGUAAUUUUUUACAUCCGCGCCGUACGCGGUAGUACCGCUCCGGGCUUGCGGUAGUACCGUGUUGGAUUUUUUCAUGGAUCGGAACUCAGCAGAAGUAGUCACAGAUGUAUUUUUAUAUGUCCGUGCCUUCCCAGUCUAGACCAAUCCUGCCUUGCGGUAGUAUCGCAAGGGGGAGCGGUAGUACCGCGCCAGCAGUUCUACCGCCCUUGGCUUCCUUGCCUCAGGUCUGGCCUAGCUUGUGCCGUGGCAGUAGUAGUACCGCAGGGCCUUGCGGUAGUACCGUGGGCUCGUGCGGUAGUGCCGCUCGUCGCGGGCUGAGUAAGUGGAUAACGGUUGGAUUUGCUCUUUCACUAUAAAAGGGGAGUCUUCUUCUCCGAGUUGACUACCUCUUCCACCCCCAAGCUCCAUUGUUGCUCUAAGCUCCAUUUUCGCCCGAUCUCUCUCCCUAACCAAUCAAACUUGUUGAUCUCCUAGGGAUUGGUUGAGAAGGCCUAGAUCUACACAUCUACCAAGAGAUAUUUGAUUCCCCCCACUAAUCCCUCGCGGAUCUUGUUACUCUUGGGUGUUUGAGCACCCUAGACGGUUGAGGUCAUCGUGGAGCUAUACUCCAUUGUGGUGAAGCUUCAUGGUGUUGUUGGGAGCCUCCAAUUAAGUUGUGGAGAUUGCCCCAACCUUGUUUGUAAAGGUUCGGUCGCCGCCUUCAAGGGCACCAAUAGUGGAAUCACGACAUCUCGCAUUGUGUGAGGGCGUGAGGAGAAUACGGUGGCCCUAGUGGCUUCUUGGGGAGCAUUGUGCCUCCACACCGCUCUAACGAAGACGUACUUCCUCUCAACGGAAGGAACUUCGGUAACACAUCCUCGUCUUCACCGACUCCACUCUUGGUUAUCUCAUCCCUUUACUCGUGCAAGCUUAUCUUGGGUUACAUUCCUUGCUUGCUUGUUUACUUAGCGUUGUUGCAUCAUAUAGGUUGCUCACCUAGUUGCAUAUCUAGACAGCCUACUUUGAUGCAAAGUUUAAAUUGGUAAAGAAUAGCUAAAAACUGUUAGUUGCCUAUUCACCCCCCCUCUAGUCAACUAUAUCGAUCCUUUCAGGGUUCCCAAUGAUGAAGAUACCGAGAGGCUCAUGGCGGAAAGUGAAGAGAGAGGUCGGCCCGAUGUUCUUGGAUCUGUAGGACAUGGAAGAAUUGCCUUGUGGCAUGGCAAGGUCAGUAGAGAGGGCAUUGCCAUGAUCCAACCAUCAUUCUUGAGGCAUUUGCAUCACAUGAUCUUUGGAUUUGACAUGCAUACUCCAGGAUGCCUGGCUCUCAUAAUGAUCUCAGUGUCCUCUCUUGAUAUCCUCUUUUUACAAGGCUUGUUGCCGGUGACAAUCCACCUUGCAACUAUGUUGUCAAUGGCAAUGAGUACAACAUGGGAUACUACCUAGCCGACGAGAUCUAUCCUCUACAAGCCACAUUUGUGAAGACAAUCCACCGUCCUAAAGGCAAUAAGAAAUCUCACUUUGCAACUAUGCAAGAAUCUCCUAGAAAGGAUGUUGAGAGAGCUUUUGGUGUGCUUCAACGACUCUUUGUGAUUGUCUGUGCCCCUGCUGAGUAUAUCCGAACCCGGAGAUCUUAUGGAAGAUCAUGACAACAUGAUCAUUGAGUAUGAGAUGACCCGUAGGACUUUCGGUAUCUCUUCAAUGGACACCUGGUGGAGCCAGAAUGUAACCCAAACAAGAUUGAAGCCUUCCUCCAAGCACACCGAAAUACGAUAACCGUCAAGCUCAGAACUGACUUCAAGAAGAUCUUAUUGAGCAUGAUUGGCGCCUUCAUAGCACCGAUUCUUGUGCUUUUACAAUGUUUAUUUGGAUUCUUAAUUCAUUUGGACCGUCUGUUGUGUUUUGAAUUUGCACGGUUAUGUUUGAGAACAUCAAAUUUGCUAUGUAUUUGAAUUGUAUGUACUUGAAUUCUUAAGUAUUGAACUAAUAUGUUGUGAUAAAGUUUGGAAAUGGUUGGAUGAAUUAGCAAAACAAUAUUUUUAAGGGAUUAAGUUUUAGGGGACCUGCUAGCUGAGGAAAUGUUUAAUCCCUUAAUUUUUUUGACUUCUUGGGAUAGGGAGAGGGUUUGAGGGAUUAAGUUUAGGGCAUCUGCUGGAGAUGCUCUAAGAUCUCAAAACCGUCAUGGUUUUGGCACGUGGAUAGAUAACUUAAAUGCACCCAUUUCGAUGGCUAGUUCUUUGGUGAUACUCUAGUCCUUCAGGUCUCUCUUUACCGACUCCUCCCAUAUUAAAUUUGGUCUACCCCCGACCUCUCUUAACAUUAUCAGCAUGUUUUAUCCUUCCGCUAUGCACCGCAUUGGGGCUUAUGGAGUCCUAUGUUGUAUAUGCCCAACCAUCUCAUAUGAUGUUGGACAUGUCUCUUCAACUGGUGCUACCCCAACUCUAUCACGCAUAUCAUCAUUCCGGACCCGAUCCUUUCUUGUGUGGCCACAUAUCCAUCUUAGCAUGCGCAUCUCUGCUACACCUAACUGUUGGACACGUCGCCUUUUGGUCUCGGAACAGGCUUUUGCCCCGCUUUAUAAAUAAAGCAACAACUGAAAAAGUACAUGGCCGAACGAUACAAGAUGGUGAGGUAGCCCUCUUACAAAGCUGAUCCUGAGAUAACCGGCACACGUAGAACGCACGCGACUAUGCUACCCUAAACGAGCACCGAAAGAACUAAACACCCCCAUGCUAUGACCUAGCACACCUAAGCUCCACGACAACGCCCUCAAGAGGGAGAACGGCGCAAACCGUCGCCGUUGCCGAGUACACACUGGACAAAGGUCUUCACCCGGAGCCCUGACACAGGGAGAAGAACCACAACGACGCCUUUAAGAGGAGUGCAACACCCUCGGGUGUCGCCGCCGUCGGCGCCAAGGCACGGAGCUUUCGCUCAGCAACCUACCCAUGCCACCACAAGGCCGCCAGGAGGAGCGCGACGAUGUCAGAUCCCCAGAUCCGAAUCAGGACGCCUUUUAGUUGGCCAGCCUUUUGAGUUUCAUCUCCACAAGAGUGGCUGCGUUUUGAAGUUGGCUUGCCAAGCUUAUCACAACCCUCCUUCUUUACCUGGGCUUGGGACCGACUAUGUUUGUUUGGUCUAUUUUUUCUUCUUAUAUUUAGUAUGGAAUUUGUAACAUUCUUUUUUUUAAAGAAUUGUGUGGCAGAGAAUGACAAACCUUAAGUCAAGCAGGCCGGCCUGAAAACCUUGAAGAACAGAAUCAGGGAUCGGCCCAUUAAGCUGGUUAUUUGACAAGUUGCUGUAAAAUAAUUGUUAAAAUCAUUAUUCAAAAUUAAUAUCAUCAACCAAAGAGUUAAUCAUCACAGAACUUACAGGACUCUGAGUGACCCUAGGUAGUCUGGAAUAGCUCCUGUCAAAUUGUUGUGUGAUAAAUCCCUAUAUAUAUAUUUCGCAUAGGGUCACACAGAUGGCAAACAUAGUCUCAUUUAGCCCAUCAAUAUUAUGCGGUAGGCACUACUUACAAGUUUAUCAGUGAUGACAUGUUCAUGAAUGAUAUGGCUAAUCCACCUUUCAGUCCACUGGUAGACAGAUUUCUGCAGAAACAACUCAUUUUAAUAGAAGCCAUGAAUUUAAUGAUAGCAUCGAGCUAACAUGCAUUUUAAGCUCCAUUUUAAAGACUAUUCAAGUAUCUUUCUGUGGCUCAGGUUUACACCAAGCUACCUGUGUUUUCAAGGUCUUAGAGACUUAGACUGUGACUGAGUCUCUUACUAUUUAUAAAAACACGCGGUACUCUUCAAAGUUUAAAAGAUUGAACUGCAAUGUUUAGAUUUCAAAAUGUAUAUGGUAAAGUCCUGGUUUUGUUCUUAGUUCUUAGUUCUUACACUGCAAUUAUUCUUGGAUUCUGAUUGCUCUUAGGGUAGCUGCAAAUCAAACCUUCCCAGGAAUACUCUCCUGGGGAGCAUGGAUCUCCAUUCCAGUUUAUUUGUGCCAAAUUGUAGUGCUUCUUCACUUCUUUGAUGUAACUGACUACAAUAGCAAAAGGUCAAUGGAAACAAAUUGGAACGGAAUAGAAAAGUUGUAUAUGUUGGGUAUGGGGGCUUAUAUGUUUUAAAAGAGGCUUAAACUGUAACGUAAGAGGUUACCAAAAUAUUCCGUAUGCAAGCAUUAUGUUUUUGUAGAACUGAAUAUGCACUGAUUCAUUUCUCUAAUCUUGGUGGCCUACUCAGGAAUCGACUGUAUUGCUAAAUCAGUUGGUUAAACUUGUUCUCUCUCUUUUUUUUUUUAAACUUGUUCUAUCUUACUUUGGUGAAGAGCGUGACAAUGUCAAGUGGUGUCAGGGAUCUCAGAGGUCUAGAUAGGCAAUAACAUUUGUUUUAAAGCAGGGAGCCAGAGGUCUUUGAGCAGUUUAGCCUACUGAAUAAACUGCAUGAUGCUAAUUGGAAUCUGAUCCUUAGUUUGCCCUGUUGUAUCUUUUGUAUCUUGUGUUUCUUGUUUGUUUGUUUUCAACUAGGUCUGUAUAGCUCUUUUAUUUUCUUUCCGAACUAUGCUUUGUACCAUUUAUUUGACAACUAAUAAAAAUACACAACAGAGUCCUGUUGUUUCCCCCCAAAAAUAAUAUUUGGAAUGUGCCACAGGCAUGGCAAAUGUGUAAUGCACACACAGUAUAGUACAUUAUAUCUUACUGUCAUUGGAGUCAGUCGUGAGGUUAUCCAUCCGAACUAGAGAGUACAGCUCGAACGCAUUGAUGAGCGGUGGGAGCACCGAGUUGUUGGUCUUGUUCAGAAGGAAGGAGGCUGCGGGGUUAUGCAAGAAGCGCCCAUUCUGGUGCAUGCUGUCCACCUGGGAUCGCGAAGGUGAGAAGUCUGGGAACAACAAUUCGUCGCCGCUGUAGAUGUUGAAGGACCUAUUCGGAUUGUUGUCAACGACCUCGGCAAAGUGGAAGAUCGGGAGAAGCUGCAGGUUCGUUGGGUCCAGGUUGGGACCUGCUGCCACGCGAACGCUGUAAAAGGUGUUGUUCGUGUCUACGGUCGUGGCGUUCUGGAGGAUGGCUUGCGGUACCUGGAAGGCGUCAUUGCCUGGGAGCCUCUUCACUUCAUUGCUAGUGUUGAGGGUGAUCCAGGGGUAGGCCUUGUAAGUGGAAAACCAAGCCUCCCAGAACCGGUCGUACGGGUCCAAUGGAUAUCUGCAUCCCACACAAAGACAUUAGUUUUUAUUAGAAGUGAUUGCAAGGAUUCAGGAAACACAAAGACCAAAUUUAAACCGUUGUACCACUCAAAUAAAUAAAUAAAUAAACCAUUGUCAGGCAUAAUUAAGAUCAAAUCCAAAUUAUUAUGGAUCUCAGUCUUGUCUCACCUUGUGAUAUAUUCAGUGGCAUUACCAAAUCUGAACCGUUUAAAGUAGCUGAUUGACACCGAAGAAUUCACAAAAGGGUACAUCACAUCUUGCAGUGGCCUCAGCUCCAACGAAGACACGAACGGUGUCCCUGUACCGAAGUUUAUCAGACAGACCGACAGGUUGUUGCCAGGAGCAACGGUGAGCACCUCCUUCCAUAUUGUGUUUGAUGGAUCUGAAUUUGUCAAGUUCACCGCCUCCCAGAAAUUGACACCGAUAUGGAGCCCAAACCGAAAAAGCGACCCGCUCAUAGUACUGUUCAACCCAUCAUAGUCGCCGUAAGUAAACAAGGCCCUCACCAGAAACUUCUUACCAGUGGCGGAUGGCAGCGUGUAGCAAUUCCUUGAGCUCUGAGGGAAGCUUCUCAAGGUUUUUUGUUGCUCAUUCGUGGCAUCAGCCAUGAACUCCGUUGAAAUCUUGUGGCUCAAUCCACCAUCGACAAAUCCAUGAUCAGAAUGGUACUGUAUUCCUGUUGUGCUGUCGUUGUAGGUGCGUCUGUUUCCGCAAUCGAUGCUUAUGAACCCUGCACAAGGAGAAUUUAUAUCAGUUUCAUGUGUUUCAAGUUUAAGAUCUACACCAAGAUCAUGGAUGGUGUGACUAGAUAUUCAGUAGAUAAUACUCCUAGUAUGUUAUCGCUAAGGCUUCAGUAAAGUGGGAAGUGUUUCUUAAAUUGCACUCCAAAGUAAACUAAAGAAUGCAGUGGGGCACAUCACCCGAAGUAGACUGGCCAUAGACUCGGGUCAUCAUGAACAGCAAGGCCAAGAUCCCCGUCAGUUUUCUACUUGCUGAGCAACUGAAGCUGAUCACCAUGGUACUCUUGGGUUCUUGCAAUGUUUGCAAGCGAUCAUGCAAAAAGUAAGCGUUUAUGUUUCUCUGCUACAAAUGUAUUGUGUACGCACUUCUGUUCAUGAUUCUGUACGUAGUUAUAUAGCAGAGAAACACAACUUAGUAUUUGGAUUGACUUGGCCUCGGCGCUGGAUUAACAAUGUGGAUGAAACAAAACGUUCUGUUCAUCAGUAGGUAGCCUUUUCAUCAUGUAAGAAAUGCAACUUGCAUCUCACCUAAAAACUGAAAAUGCAACUGGCCAAGUUGUCAUGGAGUUUAGUUUGACUGGAUCUGCGCUAACGUACUGCCCAUCAGCGUCAUAACGAAGUCCCAGCUCAAGAUUGAUGCAUUUUUUCUUGGCGAAUACGCAUAGCAUGCGUAUCAUCCAUUUAAAGAAGAGGACGGCGAGAUGCCGGUUACGAGAUUGGUUCAUUUUUGGCGAACCAUGCACGCGGCUUGCUCCUACAGCGAUGAACCAGUCUACUGUGGUAAAUUCAACGAGAGUAACAAAGUGUAUAUCAGUAGAUCAGUAGUUUUAAGACAAAAAGAAGAGGGCAACUUGCAAGACCAGUUCGUCGACGUUGGCCAAACCCAGCGAGACCUAACUCCGCUGACGUAAGAGUGAGCGGCAGCACGCAUGCCGGCAUGCGUCCCCUCAAGCUGUGAAAUCUCAAUUGGUUGUUUUACCCGUGAAUUUUCCAUCAGCAUGCGGUUGGGCAAUGCAUGUCGGAUUCUGAUGUUUCCUGGGGAGGACGCAGCGCACUUCCAGUGUUUUGUGGACCAGCAGGCCCCGCGAGCAAAGCUCUGGUAGCAUCUUGCAAAGCGUUGUUUCAAAAAGAAAAAAACCUCUUGCAAAGCGGAUCAAAGAAAACUACAGAACAAAGCUAAAGCACCAACAAUGUACAAGACAUACGUACAUGCCAGUUUACAGACCGAUGAGCGGAACUCAAGCUGCAGGUGGAGGUGGGACUAAGUGGGACUAAUUAUCCCAUCCCACUUAAGUAGCAUUAGUGGACUCUCAUUGGAUUUGAAAAAUAUUAAGUGGGCUAGCCCUAUUAGCCCAUUGGGACCCCACCAUAACCCACUAUUUACUUGAGCCUUGAGUUUGUCUCAAAAAAAAAAUCUUGAGCCUUGAGUGCCCAGCCGAGAGUGGAUAGAGCAAGCCGCACGAGUGCACAAAUUCCAGGCGGCGGCGGUGCUCCACUUCGCCGCCGCACCUUCUUGGCUACUCCUCGCACCACCACCUCACACCUUGCCCCUCCUCUGACUCAGACGUUCUCCCUCUUUGCCUUGCUCCGCCGUCCCCAUCAAGAAUCACCGGUCCCUUCUCUCCAACUCGGGAGGCGCCGCAGCGUAGCAGAGGUACUCCGAGCGCCGCUGCUGAUGGACGCCGUCGCCACAUCCCAUCCUCUUUCGCCUCGCACUCAGGUCCUUUCGGUCUCCACUGCCUCGCAUCUUCUACCCCGGUCGGACGCGACCCCUAGGUCAUCGGCUGCAGGUAGUCCAUCAGAUUCAUUCAGGCUCGAUUCAUGUUUCUCUUUCUGUUAAGAGUCAAGACUCAGAUGCUGAUGGAUUGCUCAUGUAUUCAGAUGUUUGUUUUCCUUCCAAGUUCAGAGUCAAGAUUUACUAAAAUUAACUUUCCCCCCUUCUGUUUCUAUUAGAGAUGUACUGAUUCAUGAAGAGAAAAUUUGUAGUCUGUAACUGGCAAUUUGUGAUAAUACAGCAGGUUCUUUCCUUCUUAGUCCAUGUUUUUAGUUGCAAAUGCAUUUGUUAAGUGGGAUCCCACUUAGUCCCACAUAAUUUAUGUUAGUUUUGGUGGGGUGCCCACUUUUUUAACACCAAACCGUAUUGGGACUAGGUGGAUUGUGGUGGGACUCCCACCUACAGUCCCACUUGCAGCCUGAAGCGAAAGCAUAGGAGUGGCGGAACCACAACCAGAGGCUUCGAAGAAGCUGAUCCAAAGCAAACUUGCGUCACGUACAGAAAAGCAUGGGGUUUCAUGACAGAGGCCCCCACCGAACUACCGCCGAAGAGAGCCCACUGCCCUCUUGCUCUGGACCGUGGAGUGGGAACCAUGUGGGUGUAGUUUUGACCAGAAAGCUUACGACGAGGACCCGUGUCGAGGAUAGGGGACAAACAAAACCACCAAGCGAUGGUGCCAAAGAAGCAUCGGGUCAAGAUCCAAGCCUUACCCCCUGCCCUGCGUCGCUCCCCCGCGGGCGACCCAAACCUAGCCGCCAGAACCUACCCCCACCCGCUCCCUCUCCCCCCGCCGCCGCCGGCGGGCGCCGCCGGGCAAAGCCCGCGCGGUGCCGGUGGCGGCGGGAUCUCCUUCGCCCUUGGCUGGAGCGGGGGCCGCGGGGGGCCUCUUCUUCGCUCAAGACGGCGGAUCCCGGAGGCCGGCGUGUCGGAUGGCGCUGCUGGCGGUGGUGGCGUGGGNNNNNNNNNNNNNNNNNNNNNNNNNNNNNNNNNNNNNNNNNNNNNNNNNNNNNNNNNNNNNNNNNNNNNNNNNNNNNNNNNNNNNNNNNNNNNNNNNNNNNNNNNNNNNNNNNNNNNNNNNNNNNNNNNNNNNNNNNNNNNNNNNNNNNNNNNNNNNNNNNNNNNNNNNNNNNNNNNNNNNNNNNNNNNNNNNNNNNNNNNNNNNNNNNNNNNNNNNNNNNNNNNNNNNNNNNNNNNNNNNNNNNNNNNNNNNNNNNNNNNNNNNNNNNNNNNNNNNNNNNNNNNNNNNNNNNNNNNNNNNNNNNNNNNNNNNNNNNNNNNNNNNNNNCGCGUGCCGGUGACGGCGCGGCGUUUCUCUCGUGGCGGGACUCGUCUUGGCCAGAUCUGCUGCUGCUGGUGGAGUAGGAUGGCGGCGGAUGCGCGACAUGGAGUCUGGCAGGGCAGCGAGCUUGGACAGAGCUGGCAGCAGUGUGGCGGUGUGCUUGGGCGGUGGCGGCGUCAUCUGGAGGCAGCGUAGCAAACCCACGGCCAGGCUGGUGGUGGCGGCGCUGCAAUGGCUCGGCCAAGAUGGAGUCUUGGCGAGCAGCGAGUGGCCGGCCUCCUCUGCGCGGUGUGGUGAGUGGCGGGGCUCUCUUGGUGGCGCGGCUUGGUUCUUCGCGGAGGAGCGGGUCCGUCUGUCGCAAGGCCAGCCUUUGGAGUGGGUGUAGGCAGUUGCGGACGGUCAUGGACCCUGCAGGAGGUGGGGGUGGCUGCAGUCUCUUGUUCAGGCUGGGAGUUGGUGCGGUGGCCGGGUUCUUCUUGGUCAUGCAUCCGGUCGUCAGUCCUCAGCUUUGUGGCUACUUCGACUUAGAGUUGCGGUGGCGGCGGUGCGAGGCAAAUUGGACGGUGUAGCCCAUUUCCAGGAGGCGUGGUGAUGUGCGUUUGCGCGGAUGAAAAUCCUGCUCGGCUUAUGCCAGGCCGGCGGCGAUGGCACCUGUGGGUGUCAUUUCCUUCUUGAAGGCGUCGCCGAGGUGUGUGCGCCGUGCCCCUCGCUCACUUGGAGUUGGUGGCUGUCUCCGGGCGAAAGCCUCGAUUCGAUGUUGGAUCGGCACAUUGGCAGCAUCCUCGAUGUCGUAUCUCUGUUGGGAGCUUUGUGUGUGGAGAUAUGGUUGGGUCCUUAUUGCUCUCCUCCGGUGUUCGCCGCUGUCCUCUAUUGAUUCUUUGCGGCGCUAUGUACGCUCAUCGUUGGUGUUUUCAAGUAGGUGCUUCUCUUAGAUCGAAGCAAGUCCCGCCUUCCACUUGCCACUUCCUCUUAGGCGCUCAGAGUGGAUGGUGCGUCGACAAGUGAUGUUCCAUGGAAAGUGGUGGUCUUCGGAGGUGUCCGGCGUCGGUCGACACGCAGUGUGUGUCAGCUGAAGAUAGGCUCUUCUGUGUUGUAGCUUGCUUUGCGGUGUUGUCCGCUUGUAAUCUUGGUCGUGUGUGGUGUGGUGUGUGCUACGCUCGUUGUUCGCAACGAGUGGUAGCUUCUUGUAAUUUCAUUUCUGCCUCUAUAAAGCUAUGAUACGUCUAGGCGUACUCUCGAAAAAAAAGAUCCAAGCCUUCCCAGAAGAACACCAUCACUGCGCUAUUAGGACCUGGGUGCUCCCACAUCUCGCUCGCGAGGGGUGAACUGGCAGGAAGGGGAGGGGAGGACCACGACGGUGCCCCCAGGAGGGACGCGGCACCUGCAGGCGUUGCUGACGCAUGCACCAAAGUGUUGAGCUUUUGCUCGGUACAUCCCACUUGCCUUGCCGAGAAAUUUGGUCACUGAGCCCCCGCCACAAGGGAAGGCCCGCCAUGACGGGAUCCGGGACACCUAAUCUAGACCUAGGCACAAUCACCACAAACGGCAAACCUCACCAGGAGUAACCACCACCGCUUCCCUCACCAUCCACUUAGUCAAGGGGAGCAUCCAACACCACUGCCAUGUAGCUCGUCGGAGAGGUAAUAGUGCAACCCACCUUCUAUGUCUACCUCCCCGGUAUCCAAGAGCCCGAGCCACUGCAUUACCCCCAGCCCUCAAUGUUCACAACUAUUGCAAGAUACCGCCAGCCACCGAUUAUCGAAGAUAGGACAUCAGUUGUCAGAAAGGGGACGGGAAGUGACUCCCCCACCCCCCAUUGAUCAACCACCUGACCACGACUAGAUCUAAAGACCGACCCACGUCGGUGACUUCGCUUGGCCCGGUUUAUGCAGGGGAGGUCAUUGCAUCUCACACCGAUCGCAGCCCCAUGGCUCACAGCCAAACCAGUGAGAGGGUCAUUCCUCACCGACGACCAAGAGAUCAUAGGGUCGGAUCUGGGCUGAGGGAGACAAAUGAGGUGGCCGAUGACCUUGACCGAUGUGAAGGGGAAUGUGCUACGCAACAACAAAAUAUCAUGCAUGAACAUGUGUAGGAAUGAUACGUCCAUUUUGCAUCAUGCUUUUAUAUCGAUAUUUAUUGCAUUAUGGGCUGUUAUUACACAUUAUAUCACAAUACUUAUGCAUAUUCUCUCUUAUUUUAUAAGGUUUACAUGAAGAGGGAGAACGUCGGCAGCUGAAAUUCUGGACUGGAAAAGGAGCAAAUAUUAGAGACCUAUUCUGCACAACUCCAAAAGUCAUGAAACUUCACGGAGCAUGUUUUUGGAAUAUAUAAAAAAUAUUGGGC
rnacentral:lncRNA from 1 species